rnacentral:rRNA from 1 species
UAAAGGAAGCGAUUCCGGCUACGGAUGAUCAUGCGUCGCAUUAGCUUGUUGGCGGGGUAACGGCCCACCAAGGCGACGAUGCGUAGGGGUUCUGAGAGGAAGGUCCCCCACACUGGUACUGAGACACGGACCAGACUCCUACGGGAGGCAGCAGUGAGGAAUAUUGGUCAAUGGCCGCAGGGCUGAACCAGCCAAGUCGCGUGAGGGAUGACGGUCCUAUGGAUUGUAAACCUCUUUUGUCAGGGAGCAAAGGGCGCCACGUGUGGCGCUUUGCGAGUACCUGAAGAAAAAGCAUCGGCUAACUCCGUGCCAGCAGCCGCGGUAAUACGGAGGAUGCGAGCGUUAUCCGGAUUUAUUGGGUUUAAAGGGUGCGCAGGCGGAAUGUCAAGUCAGCGGUAAAAUUUCGGGGCUCAACCCCGUCGUGCCGUUGAAACUGGCGUUCUUGAGUGAGCGAGAAGUAUGCGGAAUGCGUGGUGUAGCGGUGAAAUGCAUAGAUAUCACGCAGAACUCCGAUUGCGAAGGCAGCAUACCGGCGCUCAACUGACGCUCAUGCACGAAAGCGUGGGUAUCGAACAGGAUUAGAUACCCUGGUAGUCCACGCAGUAAACGAUGAAUACUAACUGUCCGGGCAGAAUGAUGCCUGG